rnacentral:rRNA from 1 species
UACUGGGGGGGCAAGCGUUGUUCGGAAUUACUGGGCGUAAAGGGCUCGUAGGUGGCCAACUAAGUCGGACGUGAAAUCCCUCAGCUUAACUGGGGAACUGCGUCCGAUACUGGAUGGCUUGAGUUUGGGAGAGGGAUGCGGAAUUCCAGGUGUAGCGGUGAAAUGCGUAGAUAUCUGGAGGAACACCGGUGGCGAAGGCGGCAUCCUGGACCAACACUGACACUGAGGAGCGAAAGCCAGGGGAGCAAACGGG